AUUUUAUUCCUCCCUCACUAUUUUUUAGGGUGAGGGGGGUAGGUAGGGACUUUUUAUUUGGGGGGGUGGUGACUAGGGGCUUGGGGACCCCUAGUCACCUUGGGGGGGAGGGAUUUGCUUAGGGCCCCCACCCGCAGCCCAGGGGUGGGGGCCGGGGGGGAGGACAGUAGGUCCCCCCCUCAUUAUCUUUGUGGCCCCCACCCGCCGCCCAGGGGUGGGGGCCGGGGGGGAGGACAGUAGGUCCCCCCCUCAUUAUCUUUGUGGCCCCCACCCGCCACCCAGGGGUGGGGGCCG